CGGAUGGCUCAGGCUUGGCUAUUCACGGUCUGUAUUCUCUUUUGCCUCAUCCCAAAAGCACGUGUGAAAUAAUUGCCGAUAAGGCUAUCUGCUUCACCAAGGUGGAGGGUCAUGAAGGUUCUCAAACGAUCACGAGGGACUGUCACCAUACGAAUGAUUUUUGUAAAUAUCCCCCUUUUUUUGGGAUUUAUUAUGCUCAAUAUUUUUGCUGUUCUAAUCGAGACUUUUGCAACAAAUGAAUUUGGUUGCUUUGUGGAGACGCCGGAGAAUGAGAUACUAUUAAGAAACAAAAGCAACCCCAAAUAUAGACAAAUUAAUAUGAUUUCUUUCUCAUGAGUUUCCAAUUAAUUAAACACCAUAUUAAUUAAACACCAGAAUCCACAUAAUCAAACAGUCACAUAAUCAAACACCAGUGUAGCUCUUGAAUUCAUCUAUUCCCUGGGUUUCUAGCAACCCAUUUUAAAGGAUUCCUUUUUAAAAAAAUGUUAUAAAGCAAUAUGAAUGUUCAGUGAGACGGCAUGACAGUCUCGAACAGAGAUUUGGUUCUCACUCCACUAUGAACCUUGGAUUGGAUCUAUACUGCCCUAUAUCCCAUGACCUAUAUCUCAGUCAUGAAUCAGGAUGGAAACUAUAGUCAAGGAAUUAAAAGAAAGUUAAGAUUUUGAUGGGCAACAGAAGAAAUGAAACAAGAUCCCAAAGUAAUAAAUGAUAUCACUGAAUACCAAAGUUUGAUUAUCC
rnacentral:lncRNA from 11 species